UGAUUGUAAAAGUUUUUUUUUUUAAACGUAUGAAAUGAAACCUCUACUUCAAUCCUCCUACUGCGUACAGUCGCCAAUGUCAGCAGUUCUCAUCCACAUGAGCAUGGGCCUCAUGAUCCUGGCCAUGAUCCUGUCUCUAGUCCUCCUCCUGGCCAUGGGCUUCUCCUUCCGGCCCGCGCUCCGCCGUCUUAACAAGACCGACCUCGUCUUCAGUACCCUCAGCUCCUUCACUGGUAAAUGUCGCCCUGGGAAAAGGCUUCGGGGAGGUGUGUCCCAGAAUUUCU
rnacentral:lncRNA from 1 species